rnacentral:rRNA from 1 species
GUGGGGAAUAUUGGACAAUGGGCGCAAGCCUGAUCCAGCCAUGCCGCGUGAGUGAUGAAGGCCUUAGGGUUGUAAAGCUCUUUCAGUGGGGACGAUAAUGACGGUACCCACAGAAGAAGCCCCGGCUAACUUCGUGCCAGCAGCCGCGGUAAUACGAAGGGGGCUAGCGUUGUUCGGAUUUACUGGGCGUAAAGCGCACGUAGGCUGAUCGUUAAGUCGGGGGUGAAAUCCUGGAGCUCAACUCCAGAACUGCCUUCGAUACUGGCGAGCUUGAGUCCGGAAGAGGUGAGUGGAACUCCUAGUGUAGAGGUGGAAUUCGUAGAUAUUAGGAAGAACACCAGUGGCGAAGGCGGCUCACUGGUCCGGUACUGACGCUGAGGUGCGAAAGCGUGGGGAGCAAACAGGAUUAGAAACCCCAGUAGUCC